rnacentral:rRNA from 1 species
GACGAACGCUGGCGGCGUGCUUAACACAUGCAAGUCGAACGGAAAGGCCCUGCUUUUGUGGGGUGCUCGAGUGGCGAACGGGUGAGUAACACGUGAGUAACCUGCCCUUGACUUUGGGAUAACUUCAGGAAACUGGGGCUAAUACCGGAUAGGAGCUCCUGCUGCAUGGUGGGGGUUGGAAAGUUUCGGCGGUUGGGGCUGGACUCGCGGCUUAUCAGCCUGUUGGUGGGGUAGUGGCUUACCAAGGUUUUGACGGGUAGCCGGCCUGAGAGGGUGACCGGCCACAUUGGGACUGCGAUACGGCCCAGACUCCUACGGGAGGCAGCAGUGGGGAAUAUUGCACAAUGGGCGGAAGCCUGAUGCAGCAACGCCGCGUGCGGGAUGACGGCCUUCGGGUUGUAAACCGCUUUCACCUGUGACGAAGCGUGAGUGACGGUAAUGGGUAAAGAAGCACCGGCUAACUACGUG